AGGCGGUUAGCUCAAAUGGCUAGAGCAGUGGUCUCCAAAACCAAAGGUUACAGGUUCAACUCCUGUACCGCCUG
rnacentral:tRNA from 6 species